AGAUUUCUUACUGGCUUGGAGCCGGUGGUCCAGAUCAGAGAGACCUCUUGGAGGGUGUCGGGGUUUUCCUUUCUUUUUCAUUUGAAUUUUAUCCGCCUUUUAUUUUCUGUCAUCCUUGAUGUGCUUCUGGCUUCUGGCUUCCCUUUCCUUCUCUCUCAUUUGUUCCAUGUCUGCCCCUCUUUUCUCCCUCUUCCCAUUUCCCUCUUUCUGCGUUACUAGUUGCAUAUCUUCCCCACAUACACAGGAAAGUUGAUUCUCAUUUGAUCAUGUUCAUAAGCAUGAUCAAUAAAGUAUUUUUUUAAUUAAGGUGUUGCCAACUUUAAGAAAAUUCAGAGAAUAAUAUUAAGUAUAGAGUUUAUUUGGGCUCAGUGCUUGAGAAUGGCCACUCAGGAGCUUAGAUUCAAGUUGCCUUGAAUAUACACUCCAAUUAGCAGCAGUCGGAGUAGGUUUUUUUUUUUUUUUUUUUUUUUUUUUGAGACGGAGUCUUGCUCUGUCGCCCAGGCCGGACUGCGGACCGCAGUGGCGCAAUCUCGGCUCACUGAAAGCUCCGCUUCCCGGGUUCACGCCAUUCUCCUGCCUCAGCCUCCCGAGUAGCUGGGACUACAGGCGCCCGC
rnacentral:lncRNA from 10 species